UACAGAGGAGCCAAGCGUUGUCCGGAUUGACUGGGCGUAAAGCGCACGCAGGCGGACGCGCGCGUGGGGUGUGAAAUCUGGCCGCUUAACGGCCAGGCGCCAUCCCAUACGGCGCGACUGGAGUGAUGCAGAGGUCGAUGGAAUUGCCGGUGUAGUGGUGAAAUUCGUAGAUAUUCGCAAGAACACCAGUGGCGAAGGCGGCUCACUGGCCCGGUACUGACGCUGAGGUGCGAAAGCGUGGGGAGCAAACAGG
rnacentral:rRNA from 1 species